CAUCUAAGCGGGAAGCCUACCUCAAGAUAAGAUUUCCCUAGGACUUUAUGUCCUCUAAAGAGCCGUUCGAGACUAGGACGUUGAUAGGUUGGAUGUGGAAGCAUAGUGAUAUGUGAAGCUGACCAAUACUAAUUGCUCGUGAGGCUUGACUAUACAACACCCAAGCAGUUG
rnacentral:rRNA from 1 species